rnacentral:rRNA from 1 species
AGGACGAACACUGGCGGCGUGCUUAACACAUGCAAGUCGAGCGGAAAGGCCCUUCGGGGUACUCGAGCGGCGAACGGGUGAGUAACACGUGAGUAAUCUGCCCCUAGCUCUGGGAUAGCUCCGGGAAACCGGGAUUAAUACCAGAUACGACCACUUUAGACAUCUGUUGUGGUGGAAAGAAUUUUGGCUAGGGAUGAGCUCGCGGCCUAUCAGCUUGUUGGUGAGGUAACGGCUCACCAAGGCGACGACGGGUAGCCGGCCUGAGAGGGCGACCGGCCACACUGGGACUGAGACACGGCCCAGACUCCUACGGGAGGCAGCAGUGGGGAUAUUGCGCAAUGGGCGAAAGCCUGACGCAGCGACGCCGCGUGGGGGAUGAAGGCCUUCGGGUUGUAACCCCUUUCAGCAGGGACGAAGCGAAAGUGACGGUACCUGCAGAAGAAGCGCCGGCUAACUACGCGCCAGCAGCCGC